AUAGAGCCGGAGCUUCAGGCUUCAGGGAGGGACAAUUGCCGUCAAAAGUCGUCAUGCCCGGGAGCAGGUGUUGCUCAGAAUUGUGAAGACGUUAUGAACCAAGGUGACUUGACUCCAGAGUUACAACCCCACUAAUGAGAAGCAAUCUGAUGGAGGGCAAUUUUUUAAUCUUUCACAUCAUCACUGUGGACAGUAAAUGCAAUUCUGUGCCUACAUUUUGUUAAGAAAGGAGCCAUCUACACAUCCAGGGGAAGACUGGCAGCAUCCAAACAGAUGAUGCACCAUCUUAAAACACAAUUGCCUGCCAUCCAGUGUGGCUCUUUUUGUUGUGUAUGAAGAGCUAUAUGCUUUCAGGAGAAGCACAACUCACACUUGUUGAAUUAAACAAGAGGCUCGGGGUGUUUUGCCAAGUACUCCAGAGACUGGUUCUACUCUCACACAGGAAGAAAUUUGAGGAAUGCUAGGCACCAAGGACAAACAGCCUCAUGGAAAAUCAAGGGAUCUGCUUCCCAGACAAGACCAUUGGAAUGCCUAGAGCUCCAUGCAAUUUUCUGUGUCCUGACAACCUCCCCAACCUGAGUUUCCUUCAAGCCCACCACCUGAGCCAUCUGAGCAAGUUGAGCUAGGCUGAAGCUCCAACGCUGUCACACUUUAUAUUGUAUAUAGAACAAGAAUAGAUGGACUUCCCCUUAUGUAGGUGGUACUUGUCAUCUUUAAUUCUUAUGGAUGAGGGAUGUUUUCCUUUAGUAGAAACAUAAACACAUAGCAAUGCCCCUUUCCCCACUCAGGAGAUGUGCAUUCACUUUUAAAAUAGCUGCUGUUAUUUAGUAUUCAU
rnacentral:lncRNA from 1 species